rnacentral:lncRNA from 1 species
GGGGAGGUGCACCUUUUAACAGGGUCCAUCUGGAGGACAGCCUGCAGCUGUGGACUCCUCGACUGCAGACAUGGAGAGCAGAGGACCCCAUUCAGCUCAGGAGGUGUGGCCAGAGAGACCACUUGGCGAGGGUUAGUGUUCCUCAGAUGCCUCUGCCAGAACUCUGGGAACAAGCCCAUGCCAUGCAGCUCCCAUGGGAGCCAGGUAUGGUGAGCCUCUGCUCGACAACACUCCAGAGCUGCUCUAGGAGACCCCGACUGAAGAGAUGGGGAACUAGCCAGGUCCGGAGAGGGGCCCAACUCUAGCCAAACAUCCCCACCUCCACCCUGAAUUCACCAAGUUGCCUGCAAAUCUUCACAUCUCUGGAUGAGACCGAGACCUCCCUUCAGACUGCUCCAGCCCAGCUUGCACUUGGCAAGGCAUGAACUCCUCCACACCUACAUCCAGUGCUCUGUGGGAUACCCCAGCACAGCACCUGCCUGUCUUUGCUGCAGCCUGUUUGAACUAUUGCUUGGAGCAGCAAAAAGGAGAGCACAGGCCACUUGACUCGUGGCCCUCUUUCCUGGUAGUGACGCUUAUGCUCAAUUAUAAGUGACUCUGUUGAGUUGGCAGACCAGAGGCCAUGGAGGAAAGUCCUGGAAGAUUUAUUGACUCCUCUACUGAUAUUCAACAGGAGAUCCCUAAUGGAGAAUGCUGGUGGUAAGAUGAUUUCAGGUUCUUGGGCCAUUGGACACAGCCACAGAGACUGGUGGCCAUGGCCUCCAUUGAACCCCCUAAGGACCCUUCUCUGAAUGGUGGCCUCUACAUAAGCCCCUGUGCUCAAUGGAUUUGUAAACUGAGUCUGCUCCCUGCUAUGCUUGCAUUCUGUCUCACUUAAACCCCAGACAUUUCUUCCUCUAUUAUGUAUGGAACAGCCUUUCAUGUUUGUGAUUAAGAGAGUGGAGGGCAUAUUACAUUUACCAAACAGUGCUCAUCUUGGAACUGCUUCCAUAAAAACUUUGCCUGGAAGUUCACUUAUUCAUUCAACAGGAAUUUAUUGAGCACCUACUAUAUGCCAGGCGCAGUUCUAAAUCCUAUACCAAAGUCCCUGCCCUAGUGGAGCUUAUAUUCUAGAAGGUAGAGUCAGAAAAUGAACAUGUAAACAAAUAUUAUAUUUAGGUAGUGAUAAAAACAAUGAAUAAAAUUUAAAAAAAAAGAGCCAUGGGAUAGAAGGAUAAGAGGAGUGGCUACUUUAAUUAGAGCAGAAGUUCCUAACCUUAGUGGUACAUUAGAAUCAUUUGAGGGUGUUUAGAAUUCCCAGUAUGUGGACUGCACAAAGACUAAUUAAACCAGAGUGUUCAGGGAAAGGAUUCAGACACUGGGAUGUUUUAAAAGCUCCCCUGGUGUUUCCAGCGUGCAACCAAGGCUGAGAAUCACUGUACUGGAGUAACAAAUGCUGAGGAAUGUCCAGGAGAGGAGGCCUUUAGCAGGGAAACAGCAAGUGCCAGG